GGCAUGUUACCAGGGCGGGCACUCAUACUUUCUCUUGAGUUUGAUUUAAAGACUCAUCGCACACUUCCCCCUAAAGUUUUAUAUUGAACCUUAGAACUGAAUCACCUCUAAUUGAAUUGACACAAGCAGCCAAUAACUUAGCCGUCUGUCGAGUCCAGUUCCCCGGGUGUCAGACAGACAGACUGCUGUCCCUGUGUGCUGCAUAUCUGUCUGUUGUUGGCACUCAGGAAGAUGGAGUUCCUCACGUGGAAGCCUGCACUUCUCAAGCUAAAGGGUUAAACCUCUGGGAUUGCUUGCAGUGAUGGCAGCCACUGUUGUCCUUUUAGUCAGUGGCCUUCGUGCCCUGGUCUUCAGUGUCAGCAAUAGGGUUUAUUUGUCCUCUGGGGUCUUUCUUUUUUGGCACAUGUCAGUUUUGUUUAUAAAAGAUGAAGAGACUGUCUCUCUGAUGAUGGGCUUAAUGAAAGGCACUCUGCUUUGGGUGUGGGCGGUCCA
rnacentral:lncRNA from 1 species